GCCAAGGACAAGCGCCACAAUAACAUGAACAGGCAGAGAAGGACCAGAACUGCCUUUACCCCCGCUGGUCUCAGGAUCACUUGAUGAUUGCAGUGCGUGGAAGAAAGGGCGGAAGAAAUAUUGGAUCGGAGACUUCUGUCAUGCCAACCCAACGUGUCGUCAUGAUGCCAAAGGUUCUGGGUCUUUCCCCUCAUCCCAGG